UGAGGAAUAUUGGUCAAUGGGUGCAAGCCUGAACCAGCCAUCCCGCGUGAAGGACGACUGCCCUAUGGGUUGUAAACCUCUUUUGUAUAGGGAUAAACCUACCCUCGUGAGGGUAGCUGAAGGUACUAUACGAAUAAGCACCGGCUAACUCCGUGCCAGCAGCCGCGGUAAUACGGAGGGUGCAAGCGUUAUCCGGCUUUAUUGGGUUUAAAGGGUCCGUAGGCGGACUUAUAAGUCAGUGGUGAAAGCCUGUCGCUUAACGAUAGAACUGCCAUUGAUACUGUAAGUCUUGAGUAUAUUUGAGGUAGCUGGAAUAAGUAGUGUAGCGGUGAAAUGCAUAGAUAUUACUUAGAACACCAAUUGCGAAGGCAGGUUACCAAGAUAUAACUGACGCUGAGGGACGAAAGCGUGGGGAGCGAACA
rnacentral:rRNA from 1 species